rnacentral:rRNA from 1 species
GAUGAUGGCUAGCUGGAGGCUUAAUACAUGCAAGUCGAGCGGGAUUGGUAGCAAUACCAUGAGAGCGGCGCACGGGUGAGUAACGCGUACACGACCUACCUCUGACAGGGGGAUAGCCCUGGGAAACUGGGAUUAAUACCGCAUAUUAUUCUGAUUAAUAAAGGAUUGGAAUGAAAGUUCAGGCGGUCAGAGAUGGGUGUGCGUCUGAUUAGCUAGUUGGUGGGGUAACGGCCUACCAAGGCGAUGAUCAGUAGGGGGCGUGAGAGCGUGGUCCCCCACACGGGUACUGAGACACGGACCCGACUCCUACGGGAGGCAGCAGUAAGGAAUAUUGGACAAUGGCCGCAAGGCUGAUCCAGCCAUCCAGCGUGGAGGAAGAAGGCCCUAUGGGUUGUAAACUGCUUUUAUCAGGGAAGAAACCUCUGGAUUUACUCCGGAGCUGACGGUACCUGAAGAAUAAGCACCGGCUAACUCCGUGCCAGCAGCCGCCGUAAUAC